rnacentral:misc_RNA from 1 species
GCCGUAACGAGUGGGCCUCUCUCUCGCUCUCGCUCUCUCCAUCUGUGCGUCUGGGCAUAGCUCAAGCACGGCACUGGAAAACCCCUUCGUGUAGUUCUAAACAGAAAAGGCUACCAAAACCAGGGUUGUAGGGGUCGGAACUCACAGCCACGCCCUCGCGCUUCGAGGCGGCUCCAGUGCUGCGGCCGAGUUCGUACCGGUCCUUCCGUGCGUUUCUGUCUCGGCGUCUUUUCUCCUUUGCAGUCAUAUAGAUGGAAAAGGUGGAGAUGGUGGAGCUGUAUGGGAAGCCGACACUGAUAGCCCCCCCCGCCCUCUCGCCCGCCGCUCUUAGCGUGUGACCCGCUUCUCUUUUUUUAUUGCUCUUCCUUGUUGCGUCCUGCGAGAUACAGCAGACCCAGUGCACUCUCGCCGCCUUUGCUUCUGCGAAAACGUCUCACACACACGCGCGCACGAAAAGAGGCAGUGCGAAUCGCGUAACACCGGAAAGGCGAGUGCUGAUUCGUGGCACAGAGUAAGCGGGAGAGUUGUGCAUCGCUUGUUAUACUUGAUCACCUCAAUUCCUCUCAUCCACACCCGCUGCAGCGGCUCAUAUAAGAAAACAUGAUAUUCUUCCAGUAUGUCUUCCCUUGCUACACACGGAAAACGGCGUCUGAUCGAGCGUCCCUGGCAGAGAGGGCCACCACCCCAAGCAGUAAUGUGGCCUCAACAACGAAUCUAAGCGGAUCAGCAACAACGUCUCCGGGUGCCAGCCGCAUGAGUGAUCUUGCUGGAAGUAUUGUUUCAUUGGCCGCCAGUGCCUUCUUUGCCUUCAGUGUGUUAGUGGCCAUCUACUACUACUUUGAGGUGUACCGUAAGCGCACGACGGAGGAGAGGAGGAUUCUCGCUCACGAAAGUGGUGGUCGUAGUAGCAGCGGCAGUGGUGCUGGAGGCCCACCCAUGAUUCAUGUCAUUGAGGGCAUUCCGAUGCACUACUCCGCAGCAUCAGCCACUCAGCAUGAAUCGUCUGAAGAGGUGGCGUCGCUGCGGCGACUGGCACAAGCCUCCCCAGCUGUCAUUCCUCGAAGUUCUUCGGUGUCCGUCGCGUAUCACGUGCGCUCGAGAGGACGGGACAGGACGAUCCGCGUGCACACCUUGGACGCCGAUCCGCACGUCUUCAAUCCGUUUUCGCUGCCAUCAAGCUCCGUGGAGGCGCAGGCAUGCGUGGGCCAUGUCGUAGAAACAGACGAGGGAGAGCAGCGGCUCUUAGGCGGAGAGGAGACGUGGAAGCGGCUCGAUUACGGGUCGGCGAUGUACUACAGCAGCCCCAUCGAGGAGUCGUCGCACAAGGAUGGCAGCGAGGGGAACGAGGACGACGGCGACGUUGCCUUUUGCGAUGAUUCGGAGAAUCAGCCACCAGACGAGUAGUGGCGACAGUGGUCUCGCGGUGGCUGAACCGUGAGCGGCUGUGCCAGAGAACACGUGCAGAGCAGACUGUUGUGUGUGCGUGUGCUGUUUUGUUUCCGUGCGGUGGCACACACACACACCACCCUCUCCCUCUCUGCCGCGUUAGGCAGCCUUCCUUAUUUUACAUGUCUUUUUACUUCUGCGUGUGCCUGCACCCUUUUCUUUGCCCAUGCAUGUGCAUCGGCGCAGUGGUUGUCUGUGUACGUUGUUCGGGUGUGUCAUCUAUGCGCGUGCGAACGAGAUGGUGUGCAUAUCAGUGUCCGUGGCGAAUGCCGCAUACCGUUUAGCGUCUGCCCUCUCCCCCCCCCACGCACGCCUUCCUUGGCUCUAUCUUCUCACCCUUCUGUGCAUUCUGCCGUCCACAAUGCACUGUCGGAUUUUGCCCCUUCCCACCUUCACCGUCUUUCACCCCCCCCCGCAACGGCCGCAUCCUUUCUUGCCGCCAUGCUGAAAUCGCCUUGCUAUGCAUCUUACUUGCCGACAUCUUCUUUUUUCCGCUAACGCUCUUCGUCUGUGUCUUCUCAGCUCAAACCCGCAUUUUUCGUGUUCUUUCCGUCUUUUUACCGCUAUGCGCUCGCCCAUUCUGCCUCCCCACCCCACCCCCUUCCUGAAAAUGCGCCUGCAAGCCCGCACACCUAAUUCCGCAUACAUCGAAGUCGUACGCCUGUGCUUCACAGACCUCCUGUCGACUACCUCUUGGUGAUGCACACCGUCCGAAGCUCCCCCUACUCCGCAUUCGGUUCAGGGGGUAGGGACCGCUGGAAGUUGAGUCCCCUCUGUUUUCCCUGCUCCCAAAACCGCCUUCUCUGCCUUUUACCGCGAUUUCUCACGUGCUGUUGUGCAUGCGUACGUUCCAAGGUCUUGCCAUCUUCACCCCCCCUUGCCCGUGGGCUCGUUGUCUUUUAUGGCGCCGCUGCCUCACAGUUUGCUUCUCUCUCUGCGUGUGCACAUGAAUGCCUGUCGGUGUGCGUACUCUGCUACUUUAGCCGCUGCUCGCGUCGCGGCUUGCUCUGUCUGUGUGUCUUGUCUGCGUGUGUGUGUGUGUGUGUGUGUGUUUGUGUUUGUUGCCGUUGUACUACUGUUUUACCUUAUUAGAGUGUAUGCAUGCUCGAUACACCUCCCAAAUCCUGGGCGCUCCCCUCCCUUUCUCUCCUUCCGCCCUCUUAUAUGGUGUACGCGCUGGACCUAUACAAGCGCCGCGUCAUCAGCCGCAUUCGCCGUCCCCCUCCUCUCGCAUUUCCUGGUCAUUUCUUUUUCCACUUUACUUCUCAUCUGUGAUUUGUGUGUUGUUCCGCUUUCUCCUUUUGCUUCACCUGUGCGGCCUUCAGAAGGGUGGCGAGGCCGUUUUGUUCUAUCUCCCUUGCGCAUGCACGUGUUUAUGUGUGUGUGUGCCCGCAUCACAUGAAAGGUAGUUUUGAGGCACCAGCCAAUGCACGCACAACACGACCGCCUCGAAAGUCGUUCAUGUGAGAGGCUACCCCCAACCCCGCUGCUACUCGCACUCUCCUGCUUGUGCGUAAAGCACCUAGUACGCACAAGCAUCGACACGGUGCCCGAAACACUAAAGUGCAAGUUUGCCUGAAACGUGCCAGCCGUGGUUGCGCGGCGCACGGCGUGUCUGGGGUGCCGGCCGGCGGCAUGCAUGUGUAUCUGUCGAGUCGAGUUCUACCUAGUUACUCCCCCGUCCCCACCACCACCACCACCAUCCUUGCCCCCGCCCCCUUCUCUCUGGCCGUUUCCUUCUGUCCCGACGCGG